rnacentral:snRNA from 1 species
GUGCUCACUUUGGCAGCACAUAUACUAAAAUUGCAAUGAUACAGAGAAGAUUAGCAUGGCCCCUGCACAAGGAUAACUCUCAAAUUUGCAAAGCAUUCCAUAUUUUU